rnacentral:lncRNA from 1 species
CUAAGCACUGCCAGACAGGUUUGACUAAGGAACGAAGCCUAGUAUGGAUUAAUAGAGCAGCUGUUUUCUUUUUCUAGCUGUUUUUUUUUUGUAAAGUGACUGCUGUCAGGAUAUUUUGUAGAAACUAUGUAUGUGUUUUAAGAGAACUAUGAAGUUUAAAAUUAAGGUUUUUGAAAUGUUCUGCUUCAUCUGUAAAAAUCAAAGAGUUUUCUUUCAAAUUUUAUAAUUUAUUUUUAUUUUUAUUUAUCUGCUGGGGCCUUCAAUGCCCGCACCUGGGAGCCUCAGGAGACCACCUGGGAUGCACCCCCGCCCACUGGCCCUGCAGCCACAUUUAGGGCAGCCAAAGCACCUUGCCAGGGCUUUUCAUGUGUUGUGGGUAGAUCCUUGCUUAUCCCUAUCUGCCGCAGUGCCCUACUUCUGGGGCUGUUCCAGAGCUGAUCUGCUUCUGCUGAUUUGGCUGAGAGCUUUCUCACCCUAUGAGCAAGGUUUUGAUGUAAGUUGAUACUACUGGGAGAAGAACAUGCACCAAGACACUGAGGAAAGGAAAAAUCCAACAAAAAGUGCCAGUGAAUGACGUCCUACCCCUCCUGGAUUCUUCAUCUUAGAGAACCAGUUAUGCAUUAAAAGUGGGAAUAGCAAGCAUGCAACAGACAUCUAAUGUUAGAAGAAUCAUUGCUCUGUCAGUUCAAAUGGCUGGAUUUAAUUACAACUGCCUGUUUUUUGUUAAAAUAAACUGAUGUCUUUUUCUAAUAUGAAAUUCA